rnacentral:rRNA from 1 species
UAGGGAAUCUUCGGCAAUGGGCGAAAGUCUGACCGAGCAACGCCGCGUGAGUGAAGAAGGUUUUCGGAUCGUAAAACUCUGUUGUUAGAGAAGAACAAGGGUGAGAGUAACUGUUCACCCCUUGACGGUAUCUAACCAGAAAGCCACGGCUAACUACGUGUCAG